GACCACAUCACGUUGAAACUCUGGUUCCCAUUCGAUCACCGAAGUCAAUUAUCGUUGAGCCUGGUCAGUACCCGGAUGAGUGACCACUUGGGAAUACCAGGUUCUGUAA